CAUUAUCAAAUAUUAUUAAUGUUGUAAAAUAUAUUGUUCAUUGUUAGUUCAUAUUAGCUAAGGCAUUACCAAAUGUUAAGGAAUAAACUCUUAUAGUAAAGUGUUACUAAAUUUUCUUUUACCAUUUCCUUCACAAUGUCUAUUUAUUUCUAUGGCUAACAGAUUUUGUAACAUUUGUCUUUUUUACAGUCUUACCAUUGCUUGUAAGCUGGAUUGGGUAAGAUGGAUCAUCUUUAAAGGCACCAGGAGUUAAGGCAGAUGUGGAGGCACAACGGGUGAUACCAGACACACACCAAGCACAUUAUGUUCGGACAUUCAAUCAUGACAGGAUCCAGGUGAAUGCUGUCCAUUGAGAAAAGAGUUUGUUCAGCGGUUUCUGGAUAGAAUUAAUUCCAAAGAUGGGAAAAAGUGCACAUCCAGACAAGGAGCAAGCAAAAAGACAAGGAACUUGGUGCAGAGCAAAGCUGUGGCCAUUAACCCCCAUGUGAACAGCUUCAUGCAGUCCCUGAUUGAGUUCGAAUGGACGACUUCAAAGUAAAGGCCACUGUGGUCUGUCUGCCACAGUUUAAUGCAUUUAUUUUUAGUGUUAAAUGAAAUUUAAGUAGAAUAUUUAAAACUAUGGGCCAGUGUUCUUUUUACCACAGUGAAAUGUUACCUUUUAGUCGAUGAUGGACUUUAAACUGAAAACUUCAAACUAUGGACCAGUGUUCUAUUUGCCAGAGUUAAAUAUGUUACAGCAGGGGUCUCCAAACUUGUUUAUACUUGUUGAUUUUAUUUUAUGUUACUUGAUUAUAUGUUUAUUAUUGUUUAAAAUCUUGUUUUAAAUAUGUUUGUUUCAAUUAAAUGUUUUUUUAAAUAAAAAUUUGAUACAUACA